rnacentral:rRNA from 1 species
UUUUUGAUUAAUAAUUUAAAGUCUAAUCUGCCCACUGAUAAUAUAUUAAAGGGCUGCAGUAUUUUGACUGUACAAAGGUAGCAUAAUCAAUAGUCUCUUAAAUGGUGACUUGUAUGAAAGAUUUAAUGAGAUAUAUACUGUCUCUUUUUAAUUUAUAAAAUUUAAUUUUUUAGUUAAAAAGCUAAAAUAUAUUUAAAAGACGAGAAGACCCUAUAGAGUUUAAUAUUUAAUUAAAUUAAAAUUAUUUAUAAAAUUUAAAAUUUUAAUUUAUAAUAAAUAUUUUGUUGGGGUGAUAAAAAAAUAAAAAGAACUUUUUUUAUAAAUUUACAUUAAUAAAUGAAUAAAUGAUCCGUAAUUUACGAUUAAAAGAAAAAAUUACCUUAGGGAUAACAGCGUAAUUUUUUUUUUUAGUUCAAAUAAGAAAAAAAGUUUGCGACCUCGAUGUUGGAUUAAGAUAAAAUUUAAAUGCAAAAGUUUAAAAUUUUUGAUCUGUUCGAUCAUUAAAAUCUUACA